CUGUUCUGAAGUGAGAAUGUACCUGGAGACCCCAAGAAAUAAGGGUAUUAUUCUGUGGACUGUUCCUUCAAAUUGUACAGUUGGUUCAACUCAUUAGAUAGACCUACUUCCUUCUUAAAGCUUCUUAAGACAUCCUAGAGACAAGGAAAGACAGAAAUAAACAUUUUCCACCUGCUGGUUCACUCCAGAAAUGCCUGCAAUGGUGAAGAUUGGGCCAGGCUGAAGCUAGGAACCAAGAAUUUCAUCUGGAUUUCCCAGAGACAUGACAGAAAUUAAUCCUUUUGGUUGCCAUGGUUUCAUCUGAAUGCUCUGACUCCCAACUAUUGUGAAGUGGAAGCAAUGUCAUUUUCACAGGAGAAUGAAGAGGACAUUGCUCUGGAAUGAUCAAGAUAUGAUUCAUUUUGUGAAUACUUCUAUUUCCUCUGGAUUUGAUGAGUGACAUGGAAGAGAGCAAGACAACCCUGGCACCUGCUUCUACAGAGAGAAUCUUGAAUGAAGCGGGGGAAACUUAGGCUGUGUGAAAAGAAGAAACCCACUGAAGAGUAACCUUGUGGCUGAUAAAGAUGGAAUUUAUGUGUGUAAUUUCUCUCAAGUAUAUAAUUCUGUAUUUUGAAUUGUAACUAUUUGAUUUUGGCAUUAUUUGCUAAAUUUUCUCCUACAAAAUUAAAAAACUGAAUUUAUAAUAUUCAUGGUGAAAUCCAACUUAACUGUAUUAUGAUUUUUAUGGUCCAAAUGUUUGUGCCUGUAGAGAGAAAUCUGGGUCUGACAAGCAUGCAUGAGGUAAGCUACAAAAAAGAAAAGUAAUUAUUGAAGAUCUUUAAAAAAAAUAUGACACAAUAGCUCUUCAGCCACUGGUGUUUCUAAUGACCAAGUUACAUAAUCUGUAUUUUUUUAUAGUUAGCAUAAAGGUGAACUGACCAAACUUUUUUGUAAACUCAAACUUAAAGUGUGUGUCAGUGGCAAAAAAUAAUGUCAAAAAAUGCUUGUUCAUUUUAUAGAUGUUAGAAUGAAAAUGUGCCAGUUAAGAAUAAACUGGCUUGAUUAACAUGUUGAUUAAUGAAUUAAUUCACCUUUCAAAAGCUGAUCAGGUCUCUGCUAUAUGCCAAGUAUUAUAACAUGU